rnacentral:rRNA from 1 species
AAUAGCCAGACGGCUGAACCAGCAACUUGGAAGAAUGGAUAACGAAUAAGUCGUAUAAAAUUCUAGAUAGAAAACAGAUAAUGACAACUAUCUAUCUAUUAGUCUUGACCAAAUUACGUGCCAGCAGUCGCGGCAACACGCAGAAGACAAGUGUUAUUCAUCUUUAUUCGGUUUAAAGGGUACCUAGACGGGAAAUCAAGCCAUAGUAGGUACUAAUUUUCUAGAGUUUUAUGGAAGAAAGUCGAAUAUCUGGAGUAGAGAUACAAUAUGUUGAUACUGGAUAGACGGUUAACGGUGUAGGCAACUUUCUAUGUAAAAACUGACGUUGAGGGACGAAGCCCUGGGUAACGAGAAGGAUUAGAUACCCCAGUAGUCCAGGGAGACAAUGAUGAGUGCCAUAGGCUAGAAAUAUUAGUCUAUAAAUGAAAGUGUAAGCAUUCCACCUCAAGACUAAAGCGGCAACGCCCAAAUUGAAAUCAUUAGACCGUUCCUGAAACCAGUAGUGAAGUAUGUUAUUUAAUUCGAUGAUCCGCGAAUAACCUUACCACGUUUUGAAUACUACGGGCGCUCGACCAAUUUAAUUUAAAUUAAAUUUAAUAGUAUUACAAGCGCUGCACGGCUGCCUUUAGUUGAUGUCGUGAGAUUUUGGUUAACUCCUCUAAUUAACGAAAACCCUUGUUUUAUAUGUAUAUAUAAAACAGUUCUCCACUAUAUUGGAUAAGAUAAUAGGGAUUAAGGCAAGUCAUCAUGGCCUUAAUAACGUGGGCUAUAGACGUGCCACAUAUGCCUUUACAAAGGGAUGCGAUAUUGUGAAAUGGAGCUAAUCCCCAAAAAAGGACAUAACCAAUCAU